GAUGAACGCUGACAGAAUGCUUAACACAUGCAAGUCGAUGGGGAAGUGGUGCUUGCACCAUGGUAACCAUGGCGGACGGGUGAGUAACGCGUAAGGAACUUGCCUGCGGGACUGGGAUAACAGCAGGAAACUGCUGAUAAUACCGGAUAAGGUCAUUAAGCUGCAUAGCUUAGUGAUGAAAGGAGACGCCUGCGGAGAGCCUUGCGUCCUAUUAGCUAGUUGGAGGGGUAACGGCCCACCAAGGCGAAGAUAGGUAGCCGGCCUGAGAGGGUGGACGGCCAAAAGGGGGCUGGGAAACGGCCCUUAAUACUACGGGAAGCAGGAGUGGGGAAAAAUGGACAAAGGGGGCAACCCUGAACCAGGAAUUCUGUGUGGAAGAAGAAGGUUUUCGGAAUGUAAAGUGCUUUCAGCAGGGAAGAAGGAAGUGACGGUACCUGCAGAAGAAGCGACGGCUAAAUACGUG
rnacentral:rRNA from 1 species